ensembl:lncRNA
CCCCAGGGUCUGUUGUCUUGUGGACUUGGAUUCAGUGUUCGCUACAAUGAUGCUCUGUUGGGGUCUGCACUUGCUCCAUGCGCUCUCCUGGCUACUCGUGAUGAGUACACAGCGCGUUACAUCCAAUUGUGGUCCAGGUUUCAAAAAGGGCAAAUCUGGUUGCGACCCCUGUCCUGACGGAGAAUUCAAGUCUAAAUCUAGUUCAUCAUCAUUCUGUACAAUUUGUGAUAAUUGUGGAGAAGGUAAGUCCACUGUACACUCUCUGUAAUCUUUGCAAAUAUCUGUAAAUCACUCUUUAUUUGUCAGUGUGUUAGCAUUGUAUUUGAUAUUUAUCUAAUUUCGCUAUUAUACUUGAAAUGCCUGAAAAGUUUUCAGUAUUAAAUUUGAUGAUGAUCUAAUUUUGAAUAAUGGUAGAGCAGUUGUGGGUUUUACGGUAUACCCAACUUAUCCUUGUCAUUUCUUCAGAAAGCAUUCAACGUUCACUGCAAUCUCUGCCAUUCCACGCUCUUCUUUUUUUUGUCUUCCUCACACAAUCCUUUUACUUUCUUUUUAUGUGUAAUCUCAGGAACCACACAAACGUCUCCUUGCACAAAGACAAGUAAUAUUAUAUGCAGCUGCCGUGAAGGAUUCACUCGUCGCCAUCGAUUUGCAUGUAUUUGUGACAAAGGCUCGGGGGUUGAUUCUACAGGUGAGAGAUGGAUGUAUCACCUGGGAUAGAUGAAUGUCCACACUCUGUAUUUUUUGUACGUUUUGACCUGAAGGUUGGAAACACUGCGCAUCAUUUUUUUUGUGAAUUUUCUAAAACAUUCACCCUUAACCCGUUGAGCACCUGGUCAUAACUUGGGAUUUUCUAUUAACUUUUCAAAUUUAAUAUACAAAUGUCCUAUUAUUUAUUACAGGGAAAUGUGUGAAAUGUGAGGAUGGCUUCUUCAACAAUGGAGUUGAUGAAAAGACAACGUGUCAAAAACAGAAAGAUUGUGGGCCGUAUGGCGUUAAGGUCCCAGGCAGUGCUACCUCUGAUGUCACUUGUUACACUGCCACAGAAGGAGGGCCGGGGCAGACCCCUCUGGUCACUGCCUCAUCCUCAAGUCCCACACUGAAGAAGUCUACCUCGGCCAUCACCUUGGCAACAGCUGCUUCGAUGAAUCAACAGCUCAUUCACAGAGUCAACUCUUCUACUCUUCCUUCUUGGGUCACCACCCAGUCAAAAGCUACCCCAGCACCAGCUUCACACUAUUAUAAUGGGAUGGUUGCACUCCUCAUCACUUCGUUUUUCCUCACGAUCCUCUGUUUUACAUUGAUUUUCAAGUUGGCUGCUGGUCUGUGUCUCAACCGAUUUAAGAAACAGAUCGUCCGAGCAGACACCGUGUGCAGGAAGCCGGUGGAGGAGAGCGGGGAUAAGAGCAGCUCCUCCCUGGUCAGCUCCACCGACUCAUCACAGACCUUUGAGGAUGUGUAGGCAUCAUGGAAGCACAUUGGCCCCUUAUGAUGCAUGUUCCAUGUCUGAAUAAGGAGAGUGAUUUGGUUCAUGAUUGUCUGCUGCAUACU